UACGUAGGUGGCGAGCGUUGUCCGGAUUUACUGGGCGUAAAGCGCGCGCAGGCGGCAGUCUAAGUCCUCUGUGAAAUCAACCCGGCUCAACUGGGUGGCUGCGGAGGAGACUGGGCAGCUUGAGGGGCCUAGAGGCCGGUGGAACUCCCGGUGUAGUGGUGAAAUGCGUAGAGAUCGGGGAAGAACACCAGUGGCGAAGGCGGCCGGCUGGGGGGCGCCCUGACGCUGAGGCGCGAG
rnacentral:rRNA from 1 species